GUGCUUGCUUCAGCAGCACAUACACUAAAAUUGGAAUGAUACAGAGAUUAGCAUGGACCCGGAGCAAGGAUGACAAGUACUAUUGAUAACCAGCCAGAAAUGAA
rnacentral:snRNA from 1 species